AUUGAACGCUGGCGGCAGGCUUAACACAUGCAAGUCGAGCGGGGGAGGUUGCUUCGGUAACUGACCUAGCGGCGGACGGGUGAGUAAUGCUUAGGAAUCUGCCUAUUAGUGGGGGACAACAUUCCGAAAGGGAUGCUAAUACCGCAUACGCCCUACGGGGGGAAGCAGGGGAUCUUCGGACCUUGCGCUAAUAGAUGAGCCUAAGUCGGAUUAGCUAGUUGGUGGGGUAAAGGCCUACCAAGGCGACGAUCUGUAGCGGGUCUGAGAGGAUGAUCCGCAACACUGGGACUGAGACACGGCCCAGACUCCUACGGGAGGCAGCAGUGGGGAAUAUUGGACAAUGGGCGGAAGCCUGAUCCAGCCAUGCCGCGUGUGUGAAGAAGGCCUUUUGGUUGUAAAGCACUUUAAGCGAGGAGGAGGCUACUAGUACUAAUACUACUGGAUAGUGGACGUUACUCGCAGAAUAAGCACCGGCUAACUCUGUGCCAGCAGCCGCAGUAAAAC
rnacentral:rRNA from 1 species